GCUAGGAGGUCCAGAGACUGAGUUGUCUCUCUGCUGUUACAUCGGUCAUCCUACCUGUCCAGGUCAUUUCUCUCUGCUGUUACAUCGGUCAUCCUACCUGUCCAGGUCAUUUCUCUCUGCUGUUACAUCGGUCAUCCUACCUGUCCAGGUCAUUUCUCUCUGCUGUUACAUAUGUCAUCCUACCUGUCCAGGUCAUUUCUCUCUGCUGUUACAUCUGUCAUCCUACCUGUCCAGGUCAUUUCUCUCUGCUGUUACAUCUGUCAUCCUACCUGUCCAGGUCAUUUCUCUCUGCUGUUACAUCGGUCAUCCUACCUGUCCAGGUCAUUUCUCUCUGCUGUUACAUCGGUCAUCCUACCUGUCCAGGUCAUUUCUCUCUGCUGUUACAUCUGUCAUCCUACCUGUUCAGGUCAUUUCUCUCUGCUGUUACAUCGGUCAUCCUACCUGUCCAGGUCAUUUCUCUCUGCUGUUACAUCGGUCAUCCUACCUGUCCAGGUCAUUUCUCUCUGCUGUUACAUCGGUCAUCCUACCUGUCCAGGUCAUUUCUCUCUGCUGUUACAUCGGUCAUCCUACCUGUCCAGGUCAUUUCUCUCUGCUGUUACAUCUGUCAUCCUACCUGUCCAGGUCAUUUCUCUCUGCUGUUACAUCGGUCAUCCUACCUGUCCAGGUCAUUUCUCUCUGCUGUUACAUCGGUCAUCCUACCUGUCCAGGUCAUUUCUCUCUGCUGUUACAUCUGUCAUCCUACCUGUCCAGGUCAUUUCUCUCUGCUGUUACAUCGGUCAUCCUACCUGUCCAGAUCAUUUCUCUCUGCUGUUACAUCGGUCAUCCUACCUGUCCAGGUCAUUUCUCUCUGCUGUUACAUCGGUCAUCCUACCUGUCCAGGUCAUUUCUCUCUGCUGUUACAUCGGUCAUCCUACCUGUCCAGGUCAUUUCUCUCUGCUGUUACAUCGGUCAUCCUACCUGUCCAGGUCAUUUCCACACCCCCAACCCCCUAAGAAGUUCCCUAAGAACAAAUUAUUUUGGCUAAUCUUGGUACAAAAACAUGAUGUAAAUGGAUUCUUCAGAAACCCUUCCAUCUACGCUCCAGGUCAUCAAAUAAGUCAACACUCAAUGCACACAAUGUCACUCACUAUACUCUUAGAAAAUAAAUAUCUGGAUACAACUAAAA
rnacentral:lncRNA from 1 species